AUUGAACGCUGGCGGCAGGCCUAACACAUGCAAGUCGAGCGGAGCGGCGGACGGGUGAGUAAUGCCUAGGAAUCUGCCUGGUAGUGGGGGAUAAAGUCCGGAAACGGGCGCUACUACCACAUAAUCUCAGAUGAGCCUAGGUCGGAUUGUCUCGUUGGUGGGGUAAAGGCCUACCAAGGCGACGAUCCGUAACUGGUCUGGGAGGAUGAUCGGUCACAAUGGAACGGAGACAAGGUCCAGAAGCCUACUGGAGGCAGCAUGUGGGAAUAUUGGACAAUGGACGAAAGCCUGAUCCAGCCAUGCCUCGGGUGUGAAGAAGGUCUUCGGAUUGUAAAGCACUUUAAGUUGUGAGGCGUUACCAACAGAAUAAGCACCGGCUAACUUCGUGCCAGCAGCCGCGGUAAUAC
rnacentral:rRNA from 1 species